rnacentral:snRNA from 1 species
ACUCAUACCUUACAGGAGAAAUACCAUGUUGUAUAGGUAGUUUCCCCAAGAAGAAGCUCAUUCAUUGUAUUUUAGGUAUGAUGUUGGUUCCUGUGAUUUUCCUAAAUAUGGGAAAAUUAACUGCAUAAAUUAUGUUAGUGGGACAUUGUACUUGUGGUUACUCCUG